GGGGGUAUAGCUCAGCUGGGAGAGCAGCAGACUGAAGUGGAGCGAGUGCAGACAUGCCGAUCCGAAAACUUUGUGUUCUGAAGGUCCCGCGUUCGAUCCGCGGUACCCCCA